rnacentral:rRNA from 1 species
UGGCUCAGGAUGAACGCUGGCGGCGUGCCUAAUACAUGCAAGUCGAGCGAAUGGAUUAAGAGCUUGCUCUUAUGAAGUUAGCGGCGGACGGGUGAGUAACACGUGGGUAACCUGCCCAUAAGACUGGGAUAACUCCGGGAAACCGGGGCUAAUACCGGAUAACAUUUUGCACCGCAUGGUGCGAAAUUCAAAGGCGGCUUCGGCUGUCACUUAUGGAUGGACCCGCGUCGCAUUAGCUAGUUGGUGAGGUAACGGCUCACCAAGGCAACGAUGCGUAGCCGACCUGAGAGGGUGAUCGGCCACACUGGGACUGAGACACGGCCCAGACUCCUACGGGAGGCAGCAGUAGGGAAUCUUCCGCAAUGGACGAAAGUCUGACGGAGCAACGCCGCGUGAGUGAUGAAGGCUUUCGGGUCGUAAAACUCUGUUGUUAGGGAAGAACAAGUGCUAGUUGAAUAAGCUGGCACCUGGACGG